AAUCUUUGGUAUCCAGGAAAGAGAAACACAGAAAUUGGGAAAGAUACAAAAGGAAAAGCAGAAGCAAAAAAGGAACUUGGUUUUAUGGAUUUCAUUUCGGGUUGGAAGACCAUGGAGAGUGUACCAAAGCUGUUAUCUGACUAUAUGGCAAAGAAAUUUUAUUUGCAUGUCCUGGUGUCAUAUACAUUGCUAUUUGACAAAAAUCAAUCAUGGUUUUUUAAUCUUAUGGUUUCAGGAAAGGGUUAAGUUACCAAAAAAUCAAAUCUUCCUUAUACUGUUCAUGAGGCUCAUUUAAUAUAUAUUAUUAUAUAUAAAUUAUAAUAUAUAAAGAAUAAUACUGUUAAUUUAAUCAUAGAAGCUGAAUAUUGCCCUGCCUUAUGAGUCAUGCAUUUAAAAAGAAAAUGAAAAAAAAAAGACACAUCUUCAAAUGCUCCAAGAAAACCUCAUUCCUGCUGCUAAUUCAUAUGUAAAACUGAAAAUUAACAUGCAGUCAAUGAGGCUAUUUCCACAGCUUUAGGUACCCAGUGCUGAGCCUUUAUGAAGAAAGUGUACGUGCAAUGAAGUCUGUGUUCCACUUUCAAACUGAAGUAUGUGUCUGGGCUUUUAGGCAACAGUAAGCGAGUUUCAAGAUGAGUUAGCCUACAGAACCUAGGGCUUUGUACAUCUGCACUCCACCUGACUGCAGGAACUUUGAGCAAAUUUCUACCUUGCUGCAAAAGUUUCAUUACUUAAUUAUAUAACCAUCAUAAACUGACAGGACAGAGCAAUAAAAUUUUCAGCUUAUGUAAUAGGAACUGCAUAGGAUUGGAGCAGACCCAAGAAGCAUGGGGUGGGAGAAUCAUUUAACAGGUUACAAAGAUCUCUACUGAAGGAUGUUUGAAAGUACUUUGUCUUCACAAAUAUUUUUGUCAUACUCUUCUUUAGUGCGACUAUCUGUGUCAAGGACAAUUUAGCAAAGAGCAAGGGAAGAAAACUUUGACAAAUUUCUCCUCAGCAUGAGGACAGUUUUUAUGGGGAUACAAAAAAGCUACUGAGCCAACCGAUCAAACUAUCACUUUCACAGCCUGGCAAAGGCCAGAAAUACUACUAAAUUGAUGAACAAGCCACAGCAAUGAGGUUGCCCAAAGCUCUAAUGAAACAGGAAUGUCUAAAGACACACCAAGUCCCACAGAAUAUUACAGCACAACUGUGCAAAACCUUCCCCAGCGAACAGGAUUACCACUGUGAACAGGUUAUUCUGCUCAACAGACCCUUCUUUGAGUGCUGAACAUUGAACCCAUAAGACUGUAAUGCCUUUUGCCCUCUUUUGAGUAACUUAUUCCAAUCCACAGCCCUUUGAACUUCUGGAAACCCCUCAGCACCAUCAGCAAUUACACAGCACGUCAUGAAUGCACAAAUUAGUUAUCAAAGAUUAGCAAAUACCAUCAUGUCUGCCAAUUUGCUGUAACUUCUGCACACAGAACUUUUUGCCCUGCUAUAAAGGUUACCCAUAAUUCUCUUAAAUACUUUUAAAGCAUAAACAAAUAAAACUGAAGGUGAUAACUCCAAAAUAACUCAUUAAAUGUUUUAAUUGAGUUCUCGCACUUCCCUACCAAGAAAACACUACAAGAAGUUCCUCCCAAUACACGUUUCCCUAACACCACAUGUACAUCUGCACAGCCUUAAUUUUGUAGCAGUGACAAGUCUCAAAAAAAGUAAUGAAUUAGCCUAGCAACUCUGUAAUAAAUAUAAACACAUAUAUAGAUUUCUGCAGGUUUGGGACAAAAAAAACCCAAUUGCUUUUUUUAAAAAAAUCUAAACCUACACGAAGCAAAAUUCGAUUGCUAUAAAAUAACUCUGCCUUAAGUCAAUUGCAGCUUGCACUUUACCGAUUAUUUUGAACUGUUGCUACGUAAAAAUGCGUGGAAGCACUUCUGAGUAGUGACGAGUUCUGUCAUUGUAGCAGUGCCACCCAGUGGUUACCUGUCCACUACUUCCUAUGCAUACUGCCCAUCAGCUUCUGAACAUGCUGCGGGAGUUGAAUUUCUGCACAGCUCCAGCAGCUGCCUGCAGCAGACACCUGUGGCCGAGGUUUGCCCUGUGAGGUUGUCCACAGAACGUUCUGCCAUCCUCACUGCUAAGUUCUUUGACCAGCUGCAACCUGCCAAGCACCAGUGGAGAGCUGUUCAGCUGCCCUUUCCUUGAGCCAGUGAAUGUGUUACUGCUAACUUUCCAGUAACUUGGGAGAUUCUCUUGCCCCUUUGAUAGCAAUCACUAACUGGGCAGGACUUCAAAUUUCAGCAGAUAAUUGGAGAGCUCAUCAAAUUCUGCUCGAUUCCUAAAACAUCACUGGUUUCACUGCUGACCAAAUAACUAUGUUUGAAAGAUGAGCAAAGACAUUUAUACAUACCAGAAGAACAUGCUGUCAAGUGCCAAGCAAGGAGGUGCCAGCAUAACCCUUCCACCACUUGUAUCUUUAAAAUUUCCUAGCUUUGUUCAUUUACUAUUAAUUUAUUAGAAUCAGCACAUAAAACAUCAGCUUUUUGUGUUUUAUUCAAUUUUCAAUGAAAGCAAAUAAGUGAGCAUAUUUAACCACAAAUCUCCCCAAAUUACUUGUUUCCAUAUCUAAAAUACUAAAAAGCUUUCACUAUCCCAGCCUCAUGUGUCUCUAUUGCAAAACUGUCAUGGACACUUUCAUACUUAUUUUAAAUACAACUAAUUAACAUAAGCCUUUGUUUUGAAAAGUUAUUUUAUUUUCAUAUACUUUAGAAUUAUGCAAGGAUUAAUUAGUGAAUAUUAGGGUUAAUUAGUGAAGUUGUUGCUCAGAUUUUUCCUUUGGAACCAACCGUUUCUUGAAAUACUGAAGAAUAUUUUAAAUAUAUUUGUAUUUACAAAAUUAGAAUAUUUUAAUUAACUAAGAACUAUCCAAAGAAAU